AGUUGUGUUUUUUUUUUUUAAAGUGUGCUUAUUGCAAAAGAUUGCUUAGAAAAGCAAAUGCUUUGGGUUUCUGCUGGAUGCAUGCUCUGUUCUAGAAAAAAAAAGUCCCUUCAAAAUGAUGGAAAGGAGGCUUUAGUAAUGCAUGAAUGAUUAUAACUCUCGUAUUUUACCAAUCACAAGAGGAAACAGAUUUAAACAGCCACGUAAUCUGGUCUGCCUCACCACGAACGAGGUGCCCUGCUAAACACCACACGAUCAGCCUUCUCUGACCACAGUGAUGUAGUUGACAACAGCGUACAACAGGUCUGUUUUCUCACCCUCUUAUCCCACCCAGAUAACAUCUGGUUGGACAGCCUAUUAGCUAUUGAUGCAAGAAUGCUUGUUCUCAGAGCCACCAGGACUUGAGCGGGAGCCUUCUUGGAAGCCUCAUCAAGAGCUAUAGGUCGGGAAUAGUGGGCAGGAGCAUCAGCGAAGAGUUGGCGUGAGAACCGAACAGCACCACAGAAUAGAAGGCAAGAGGGAAAACAAGCGUCUUGGAGGAAGAAAAUACUGCUGCCUGGUACCCCCUGGUGCCCAGAGAUACCCGGUCUAUUGUGCUUACAACACUCGCGAGGUCAACAGGGAGAGAGCCCGAAGAAUUGCAGGCUUCAGUGGCGACAAGUUCAGGCAAUCACGGGAAAGAGAGUGGGCCCCUUCUGAGAAAACUCAUUGUGAGCACAGCCAAGCCGAGAUAUUUUGAGAUGUGAUUCAGACCUGAGAAUGAAAAUGGGGGGAAUGGGGUGCUUGGGUUGAGAACAGAUGUAGCCCAUUUUUAAUGUAGUUAAAGUGUUAAAGUGGUGUGUCCCAAUAAAUAAAUACUUAACCCUUGGUUUCAA